rnacentral:rRNA from 1 species
CGNAAGAGUGACUAGCUAACUGAAAUCUUUCUUAUAAUAGAAAGAUAAGGUAAAGGAAAAUAAUGAUAAUACUUUACUAUAAGUGUCGCCCAAUACUGGUGCCAGAAGACUCGGUAACGCCAGAGACGCAAACGUUAGUCAUCUUAAACAGGCGUAAAGGGUUUGUAGGCAGCUUCCAAUAUUUUUAAUUUAAAAUAGCUCGUUAAAUUUAAUGAAUUAAAAAUAAAGUGAAGCUAGAAUCAAAAAGAGGUUAAUUAUAUAAUACUUAGAGUAGUGUUACAAUACGUAAAAACUAAGUAGAAUACUAAAGGCGAAGGCAGUUAACCACUAAUGAUUGACGCUGAGAAACGAAGGUAAGGAUAGGAAAUAGGAUUAGAGACCCAUGAACCCCUCACUGUAAACGAUGAAUGGUAGUAAUCAGUUUAAUUGCUGGUUUCGAGGUUAACGCGCUGACCAUUCCGCCUUGUGAGUACGAUUGCCAAAUUGAAAACCAAAAAAUUAGUCGGUCUCGGAGCACNNCGAAGUGAAGCAU